rnacentral:rRNA from 1 species
AUUGAACGCUGGCGGCAUGCUUUACACAUGCAAGUCGAACGGUAACAGGCCGCAAGGUGCUGACGAGUGGCGCACGGGUGAGUAAUGCAUCGGAACGUGCCCAGUCGUGGGGGAUAACUACUCGAAAGAGUAGCUAAUACCGCAUACGAUCUAUGGAUGAAAGCGGGGGACCGUAAGGCCACGCGCGAUUGGAGCGGCCGAUGUCAGAUUAGGUAGUUGGUGGGGUAAAGGCUCACCAAGCCAACGAUCUGUAGCUGGUCUGAGAGGACGACCAGCCACACUGGGACUGAGACACGGCCCAGACUCCUACGGGAGGCAGCAGUGGGGAAUUUUGGACAAUGGGCGCAAGCCUGAUCCAGCAAUGCCGCGUGCAGGAAGAAGGCCUUCGGGUUGUAAACUGCUUUUGUACGGAACGAAACGGCUCUGGUUAAUACCCGGGGCUAAUGACGGUACCGUAAGAAUAAGCACCGGCUAACUACGUG